rnacentral:rRNA from 1 species
GACGAACGCUGGCGGCGUGCCUAACACAUGCAAGUCGAACGGGGAUAUGAUUUCGGUUAUAUCCCAGUGGCGGACGGGUGAGUAACGCGUGAGCAACCUGGCUCUUUGAGGGGGAUAACACUCGGAAACGAGUGCUAAUACCGCAUAAGACCACGCUUCGGCAUCGGAGAGAGGUCAAAGGAGAAAUCCGCAGAGAGAGGGGCUCGCGUCCCAUUAGAUAGAUGGCGGGGUAACGGCCCACCAUGUCGACGAUGGGUAGCCGAGCUGAGAGGCUGAUCGGCCACACUGGAACUGAGACACGGUCCAGACUCCUACGGGAGGCAGCAGUGGGGAAUAUUGGGCAAUGGGCGCAAGCCUGACCCAGCAACGCCGCGUGAGGGAAGAAGGCUUUCGGGUUGUAAACCUCUGUCCUUGGUGACGAAAAAAUGACGGUAGCCAAGGAGGAAGCCCCGGCUAACUACGUG